rnacentral:rRNA from 1 species
CACGUAGGGCGCAAGCGUGUCCGGAAUUAUUGGGCGUAAAGAGCUCGUAGGCGGUCUGUUGCGUCCGCUGUGAAAACUCGGGGCUUAACCCCGAGCCUGCAGUGGAUACGGGCAGACUAGAGGUAGGUAGGGGAGAAUGGAAUUCCCGGUGUAGCGGUGAAAUGCGCAGAUAUCAGGAGGAACACCGGUGGCGAAGGCGGGUCUCUGGGCCGAUACUGACGCUGAGGAGCGAAAGCGUGGGGAGCGAACAGG